AACGGAUUAUUCUUUAUAGCUUGCUAUAGAGAAUAGUUAGUGGCAGACGGGUGAGUAAUGCAUAGGAAUCUACCUAGUAGUAUGGGAUAGCCACUAGAAAUGGUGGGUAAUACUGUAUAAUCCCUGCGGGGGAAAGAUUUAUCGCUAUUAGAUGAGCCUAUGUUAGAUUAGCUAGUUGGUAGGGUAAAGGCCUACCAAGGCGAUGAUCUAUAGCUGGUCUGAGAGGAUGAUCAGCCACACUGGAACUGAGAUACGGUCCAGACUCCUACGGGAGGCAGCAGUGGGGAAUAUUGGACAAUGGGCGCAAGCCUGAUCCAGCUAUGCCGCGUGAGUGAGGAAGGCCUUAGGGUUGUAAAACUCUUUCAGUAGGGAAGAUAAUGACGGUACCUACAGAAGAAGUCCCGGCAAACUCCGUGCCAGCAGCCGCGGUAAUACGGAGGGGGCAAGCGUUGUUCGGAAUUAUUGGGCGUAAAGGGCAUGUAGGCGGUUCGGUAAGUUAAAGGUGAAAUGCCAGGGCUUAACCCUGGAGCUGCUUUUAWWACUGCC
rnacentral:rRNA from 1 species